GAGGCACUACGGUGCUGAAGCAACAAAUGCCCUGCUUCCAGGAAAAGCCUCUAAGCAUCAGGUAACAUCAAAUCGUACCCCAAACCGACACAGGUGGUCAGGUAGAGAAUACCAAGGCGCUUGAGAGGACUCGGGUGAAGGAACUAGGCAAAAUGGUGCCGUAACUUCGGGAGAAGGCACGCUGAUAUGUAGGUGAGGUCCCUCGCGGAUGGAGCUGAAAUCAGUCGAAGAUACCAGCUGGCUGCAACUGUUUAUUAAAAACACAGCACUGUGCAAACACGAAAGUGGACGUAUACGGUGUGACGCCUGCCCGGUGCCGGAAGGUUAAUUGAUGGGGUUAGCGCAAGCGAAGCUCUUGAUCGAAGCCCCGGUAAACGGCGGCCGUAACGAUAACGGUCCUAAGGUAGCGGAAUUCCUUGUCGGGUAAGUUCCGACCUGCACGAAUGGCGUAAUGAUGGCCAGGCUGUCUCCACCCGAGACUCAGUGAAAUUGAACUCGCUGUGAAGAUGCAGUGUACCCGCGGCAAGACGGAAAGACCCCGUGAACCUUUACUAUAGCUUGACACUGAACAUUGAGCCUUGAUGUGUAGGAUAGGUGGGAGGCUUUGAAGUGUGGACGCCAGUCUGCAUGGAGCCGACCUUGAAAUACCACCCUUUAAUGUUUGAUGUUCUAACGUUGACCCGUAAUCCGGGUUGCGGACAGUGUCUGGUGGGUAGUUUGACUGGGGCGGUCUCCUCCUAAAGAGUAACGGAGGAGCACGAAGGUUGGCUAAUCCUGGUCGGACAUCAGGAGGUUAGUGCAAUGGCAUAAGCCAGCUUGACUGCGAGCGUGACGGCGCGAGCAGGUGCGAAAGCAGGUCAUAGUGAUCCGGUGGUUCUGAAUGGAAGGGCCAUCGCUCAACGGAUAAAAGGUACUCCGGGGAUAACAGGCUGAUACCGCCCAAGAGUUCAUAUCGACGGCGGUGUUUGGCACCUCGAUGUCGGCUCAUCACAUCCUGGGGCUGAAGUAGGUCCCAAGGGUAUGGCUGUUCGCCAUUUAAAGUGGUACGCGAGCUGGGUUUAGAACGUCGUGAGACAGUUCGGUCCCUAUCUGCCGUGGGCGCUGGAGAACUGAGGGGGGCUGCUCCUAGUACGAGAGGACCGGAGUGGACGCAUCACUGGUGUUCGGGUUGUCAUGCCAAUGGCACUGCCCGGUAGCUAAAUGCGGAAGAGAUAAGUGCUGAAAGCAUCUAAGCACGAAACUUGCCCCGAGAUGAGUUCUCCCUGACCCUUUAAGGGUCCUGAAGGAACGUUGAAGACGACGACGUUGAUAGGCCGGGUGCGUAAGCGCAGCGAUGCGUUGAGCUAACCGGUACUAAUGAACC
rnacentral:rRNA from 1 species